rnacentral:rRNA from 1 species
GUCUAUGGCCAUACCACCCUGAAUGCACCCCAUCUUGCCUGAUCUCAGAAGCUAAGCAGAGUUGAACCUGGCUACUUGGAGA